AUUCCUUUAUUCUCUGUUGGUAUGGCCUUCCAUGACAGUAGGGAGUUCAAGAAUGCAUUGGUCAAGUAUGGACUGAAAACAUAUCAUCACUUGUUAUUUCCAAAAGAUGAGAAAAAGAGAGUAAGUGCAAAAUGCAGUUGGCCUGGCUGUCCUUGGAGUAUUUAUGGGUCCAUUACCAGCAGGUCUGAUUGGUUUCUAGUAUGGAGGUACAACAAUGAGCACACGUGCAUUCCAAGAAGGGACAACAAGCUGGUCACAUGCGGUGUCAUUGCAAAGAAGUAUUUUAGGCAAAUCAGGGACAAUCCAUCAUGGAAGGCAGAGCACAUUCAACAAGCUGUUCUUCAGGAUCUAGUGGCUGAUGUGUCCAUCUCCAAAUGCAAAAGAGCAAAGAAACUUGUUAUGGAGAAGAUAAUUGAUCUAUCAGAUGGUGAGUAUGCUCGGGUUUAUGAUUAUCAGCUUGAGUUGCUUAGAAGCAACCCCGGUAGCACUAUUGCAGUGACAUUAAAUCCAGAAAUUCUUCACAGCAAUGUGUUUGAAAGAAUGUACAUGUGUUUAGAUGGUUGCAAGAAAGGAUUUCUUGCGGGAUGUAGAAGAGUGGUGGGGCUAGAUGGAUGUUUUUUGAAGGGUGCAUUCAAGGGGCAGUUGCUUUGUGCAAUUGGCAGAGAUGCAAAUAACCAAAUGUAUCCAAUAGCUUGGGCUAUAGUAGAGGACGAGAGCUACGAUUCCUGGUAUUGGUUCAUUGGGUUUCUUCAAAAAGAUCUACAGAUAAACAACAAUGGUGAAGGAUGGGUUUUCAUCUCUGAUCAACAAAAAGGUCUCAUCCGGGCAGUCAAUGAGCUUGUGCCCCAUGCAGAGCAUAGGAUGUGUGCAAGACACAUUUAUGCUAAUUGGAGAAAAGAACACAGAGACAAGGUCUUUCAAAAAAUGUUUUGGGCAUGUGCAAAGUCAUCAGAUAGAAGCGAAUUCAAUUACAACAGGGCUAAGCUUGCACAAAACACAGUACAAGGUGCGAGAGACAUGAUGAAAACUGCACCAGAGCAUUGGUGUCGGGCCUACUUCAGGAUUGGCUCUUUCUGUGACUCAGUUGAGAACAACAUGUGUGAGUCAUUUAAUAAUGCCAUCAUGAGAUCAAGGUUUUACCCUGUAGUAACGGCAAUGGAAAUCAUUAGAAAGAAGGUCACUGUGAGGAUCCAACAAAACAGAGCAAAGUCUCAGAAGUGGCAUGGAACCAUUUGUCCAAAUAUUUUUAAGAAAUUGAAGGUGAACAUUGAAAGAUCCGCUAGGUGUCAAGUGUUGUGGAAUGGAAAGGAUGGGUUUGAAGUACAAGAAGGUGAGCACAGGAGAUACACGGUCAAUCUAGAAAACUGGACAUGUUCAUGUAGAUAUUGGCAACUUUCUGGCUUACCUUGUUGUCAUGCAGUGAGUGCAAUCUACACCUGCUCUAGAGAUUUGGACCUAUACAUUUCACCUUGCUACUCAAUAGCUGAGUACGACAGAAUUUAUGAUCAUGUUCUUCAGCCUGUG
rnacentral:rRNA from 1 species